rnacentral:rRNA from 1 species
CUACGGGUCGCACCAGUGAGGAAUAUUGCGCAAUGGACGAAAGUCUGACGCAGCGACGCCGCGUGCGGGAUGAAGCUUUUAGGAGUGUAAACCGCUGUUAAUAGGGACGAACGGUCUUAUGUCGAACAGGCAUAAGGAUUGACGGUACCUAUAGAGGAAGCCCCGGCUAACUCCGUGCCAGCAGCCGCGGUAACACGGGGGGGGCAAGCGUUGUCCGGAAUUAUUGGGCGUAAAGGGCGCGUAGGCGGGCUGAUCAGUCAGAGGUGAAAGUUUGCGGCUUAACCGUAAAAUUGCCUUUGAUACUGUCAGUCUUGAAUUCGGGAGAGGAAAGUGGAAUUCCUGGUGUAGCGGUGAAAUGCGUAGAUAUCAGGAAGAACACCGGUGGCGAAGGCGGCUUUCUGGACCGAUAUUGACGCUGAGGCGCGAAAGCGUGGGUAGCGAACAGGAUUAGAUACCCUCGUAGUC